CAGUUCUGCCCAGACCACCGGAGAGAAAAGAUGUAAGCUGUCCAGCUGAGAAAGAACGUGGUGUGGCCAUGACCUGGUCACCUGAGGCAGAGAUGGGCAUUCCUGCCAACCUCAAUCUCCUUGGCUUCCACAAUCAAACAAAUGGUACUGACAGGCUGGUUCCCUGGAGAUCCAUCACCUCCUCCUCAUCCUGACUACACGGUCAAGUCAUCGGCACUUCUCCCUGGAUCGGCCCAUGCGGUCCCAGAUCUGGCCCUCUGCUGCUGUGCUCAUCCACCUCCUCUUGAUCUGCCGCUCUCCCUCCAGAAUCAGAUGCUCCUUCUAAACCAAGAGUACCACUCCAUCACUCCAUGUCCUUUUGGGGCUUCAACCAGUGCAUCCGUCUGCCUAACAGCUCUUCAGGGUGACGCUCCGCAGACCACCAUGACAGCUUCAUCUUUUAUUAUGUCAGGCCACACUCCUGGCGCUCCCUAAUGGGGGCCUUCUGCUCCAGCUGCCUGCACACCUGUGCCCAGGCUGUUCUCUGCCUGAUUGCUCAAUCACACCAGGCCUCUAGGGAAGCAUCUCUGGAGAAAGUACCUCUUCCUUUUCCUCUGCAGGCUAACUCAGCCUCAUUGUUUAUGUUUUCUACACCCCAGGGGCCCUUUGUGAGCCUCUUUAUCACACCGAUAACUGUUUUCUCAUUUGUCAUCUUCAUGACCCUUCAGGUGCUUUUGCCCAGGCCUUGCCAGGUUCUGCCUAGCAUCAGUGUCUUAGUUGGGGUUUCUAUUGCUGUGAAGAGACACCAUGACCAUGGCAACUCUUAUAAAGGAAGACAUUUAAUUGUGGUGACUCACUUACAGCUCAGAGGGUCAGUCCAUUAUCAUCAUGGUGGGACACGGCAGCGUGCAGGCAGACAUGGUGCUGGAGAAGUAGCUGAGAGUUCUACAUCUUGAUCCGCAGGCAGGAGGAGUCUGUGUCCACACUGGGUGUAUCUUGAGCAUAAGAGACCUCAAUGUCCACCCCCACAGUGACACACUUCCUCCAACAAGGCCACGCCUCCUAAUAGUGCAACUCACUGUGGGCUCAUGGGGGCCACUUCCAUCAAAACCGCCACAACCAGGUAUAAAUGUUCAACAACUUUAUGUGACAAGGAGGUCUCUCUAUAGCACUGGGAGAAACUUGCUGCCUCAACGCCAAUUGAUCACGGAUAGAGAAAGUUUAAGAAUGGUCAGACAUAACCUUCAGGAAAUAAAAAGGAGAUGCCAAACAUGUAACAACUAGUACCGGUUUUUGUUCUCCUAGCCCCCCCCCCCCCCCCCGGUUAACUAUUCUACCUAUAGGCAUGGCUGGGCCAAAUACUCUUUUUUUACUCCUAGCCCUCACUGUAGGACCCUGUUUGUUUAGCUGCCUACUCUUCUAUGUAAAGCAAAAGAUAAAUGGUUAAACUUCUAAUGCUAAGAGGACAAUAAAGUCCUUGCCCCCAGAUGAAUCUCCAGUUUGACUCACGCCCAUAGAACCAGCAUGACUAAAACAGGUCCCCAGAACUUAGCACAGCUGACACCAUGAGGGAUGUGCCAUUCAGGCCAUGAACCUAGCAUGUGGGCCGCACCACCUGCCAAAAGAAAAACAAAACCUACCUCAUCCAGCAAAGUCAAUAUUUCUGGGAAAGUCUCUAAAUGUGCUAGCCUUGUUUUUUGGCUUCUGUACUUCUGAUUCUGACUAACUGUUCUUGCUAACUGAGGGGUGUCAAUACAGAAUAUGGGUUUGUGCUUAGCAUCUCACCCUGAGAAAGGCUCAGGACUACACUGAGAUCCCCCAAUACCCAUUAUAGCCUCUGGCUAAUAAAGACUUUCGAUUGACUUGGA